rnacentral:rRNA from 1 species
UACGUAGGGUGCGAGCGUUAAUCGGAAUUACUGGGCGUAAAGCGUGCGCAGGCGGUGAUGUAAGACCGAUGUGAAAUCCCCGGGCUUAACCUGGGAACUGCAUUGGUGACUGCAUUGCUGGAGUAUGGCAGAGGGGGGUGGAAUUCCACGUGUAGCAGUGAAAUGCGUAGAGAUGUGGAGGAACACCGAUGGCGAAGGCAGCCCCUGGGUUAACACUGACGCUCAGGCACGAAAGCGUGGGGAGCAAACAGG